UGAGUAACCUGCCCUUAACUCUGGGAUAAGCCUGGGAAACUGGGUCUAAUACCGGAUAUGACUCCUCAUCGCAUGGUGGGGGGUGGAAAGCUUUAUUGUGGUUUUGGAUGGACUCGCGGCCUAUCAGCUUGUUGGUGAGGGUAACGGCUCACCAAGGCGACGACGGGUAGCCGGCCUGAGAGGGUGACCGGCCACACUGGAACUGAGAUACGGUCCAGACUCCUACGGGGAGGCAG
rnacentral:rRNA from 1 species